rnacentral:rRNA from 1 species
CCCUUAGAUGUUCUGGGCCGCACACGCGCUACACUGAAGGAGACAGCGUGUACUCCUGGAUCGAAAGAUUUGGGUAACCCGCGAAUCUCCUUCGUGCUAGGGAUUGAGGUUUGCAAUUAUCCUUCAUGAACGAGGAAUUCCCAGUAAGUGCAAGUCAUAAGCUUGCGCUGACUACGUCCCUGCCCUUUGUACACACCGCCCGUCGCUACUACCGAUUGAAUGAUUUAGUGAGGACUUCGGACUGGGACCGAUGCGGCUUUCGGGCUGCGUCGGUAUUCUGGAAAGAUGUCCAAACUGUAUCAUUUAGAGGAAGUAAAANUCGUANCA